CUGAUAUCCUUGUUUCUCUGCAUAUCCAGGCAUGUCCAGGGCUGUAUUAAUUACUGUGGGAGAAGUCCAUUUUCAGGAAGAGAUCAUGUGCCCAGUGAUUUUAGUUCCCAAUGCAUAGCCCUGCUAGUUACCUGUAAAAAGACAUUAUUGGUUUUUGUACUGCAGUCAGGAAUAGCAAGAGGAAACUGUCUCUACUCAGCAAAGGAAAUGUUUGGUGGGAUGGCAGGAAAUGUGACACAGAAUUAUGAACACCUGCAUCUGGACUGCAGUCAUAAAUGAAACUCUGUUGCCGCCAGCUUUUGUGGGAUUUCUUUUUGCUGUUAACAGGGUAAUUCCACAUUUUACCAUGCUUACGUGUUCAGCCCCUCCUUAAUAUAUUUCCUUGUGGUUUGGCACUGAGCCACAGAAGUUAGGAACACCUCUGCUGCACUAAGAUGGAGAUGGAGGUUUGAGGAAGGUGUCAAUCAAGCUGGAAAGUUCAGCCUCCUAUGGAGAUCUGGAUAUCUUGCAAGUUCAGACAGUUCAGAAAACAUUCCAAAUUGUACUGGAGCCACCAGGAGUUACUGGAUUUCAAUCAGGGCUCAGUGAAAUCAAUUUCAACUGGAAAUGCAUUAGCUGCACCAUGCAUUUUCAACAAGGGUAAAGGAAAGCUCACUAUUGUAAUUUUAAUAAAAGGAGAAAACCGAGGAAUCAAAUUUUGAUUGACCCAAUGAGGACAGAAAACAUAUUAUAUCUCACUGUCUCAUCCUUCCUCUUCCUGUUGGUAGGUGGUUACCUCAUCUGUUCGGCUUUUCACAAAAAUAAGUCUUAAUGACCAACUUCUUUUGACACUGUCUCCAGAGGGGAGAUCACUGUUAAAAACUAAUCCUAGACAGUGGUAUUCCACUUUGUCUCCAACAAAGAGCUUCUCCCAGGUCCAUAAAUACAGCUCAUCCAACAAUAUGUUAGACGAUUAGAGUCCGACUACCUCCAGAUUGCUUUCUCAGUCCCCAAAAAGGAUUUUAGAACAUUUUCUCUCUCCCCUCUAAACACUAAGAUCACCAUGCCUGCAUGGUGACUAUAGAGC
rnacentral:lncRNA from 1 species